GGCUUAACCCACUGAGCCAUCCAGGCGCCCCGCUACUGGGAAAAGAGAACCAGAGAGCACAAGCAUGGGCAGGAGGAGGAGGUGGUGCGGACGUGGAGCUGGCAAUGGCAGAAGGGAGAAGCAGACUCCCCACCAAGCAGGGAGCCCAACGUGGGACUUAAUCCCAGGACUCUGGGAUCAUGACCUGAGCCAAAGACCUACACUUAAUGAACUGAUCCACCAGACACCCCUGAUCAUGAUCUUUUUUAUCUAAUUUUUUUAUUAGGAAGCGUUC